GUCAAGCUACUAAGAGUCAUUGGUGGAUGAUUAGGCGCUUAUAGGCGAAGAAGGACGUGGUAAGCUGCGAUAAGCUUCGGGGAGUUGCAAACAAACAUUGAUCCGAAGAUUUCCGAAUGGGGCAACCCCAUCGUGUUCACACGAUGAAUCCCGCCCGAAUACAUAAGGCGGGAUGGCGAAACGGGGAGAAUUGAAACAUCUCAGUACCCCUAGGAAUAGAAAGAUCAUCGAUUCCGUCAGUAGCGGCGAGCGAAAGCGGAACAGCCUAAACCUUUGUGAUGUCAAGCUUCGAGGCGUUGUCAUGAAGGUGUCGUGGGGCUCACAUGUUGGAUCUCGAAAUCCAGCGGAAAGAAAUCCUGUCUGAUUUUAGCAAAACAAUCUGGAAAGAUUGGCCCAAGAGGGUGAUAGCCCCGUAUGUAAAAAAAUCAGACGCUUUCUCGUGAUGUCCCCAAGUAUCUCGCGAUAAGUGGAACCGCGUGAGAAUCUGGGAGAACCAUCUUCUAAGGCUAAAUACUAAUAAGCGACCGAUAGUGAACAAGUACCGUGAGGGAAAAUUGAAAAGAACCGCUGUGCGCGGAGUGAAAUAGAACCUGAAACCAAUCGACUUACAGGCGGUGGAAGGGCUAUGCUUAUAUCUUCGGAUAUAAGAAUGCCUAACUGCGUGCCUUUUGCAUAAUGAUCCGGCGACUUAAUGUAUGCGGCAAGGCUAAGCACUUGAGGGUGUGGAGCCGUAGCGAAAGCGAGUCUGAAUAGGGCGUUCAGUCUCAUGCAUUAGACCCGAAGCUAAGUGAGCUUACCAUGGCCAGGAUGAAGCGAGGGUAAAACCUCGUGGAGGUCCGUACGGUUGUGAGUUGAAAAUCGCUCCGAUGAGCUGUGGUAAGGGGUGAAAGGCCAAUCAAACUUAGUAAUAGCUGGUUCUCCUCGAAACAUCUUUAGGGAUGGUCUGGUGAAGUAACCGUUAGAGGUAGAGAACUCGAUGGGCUAGGGGACUUACCCGUCUACCGAACCCAAGGAAACUCCGAAUGCUAACGGCGGUAUCACUGGAAUCAGUCCGUGGGGGAUAAGCUUCACGGUCGAGAGGGAAACAACCCAGAUCGCCGUCUAAGGUCCCUAAAUUAAGACUAAGUGGUAAAGGAUGUGAGGACACAUAGACAACCAGGAUGUUGGCUUAGAGGCAGCCAUCAUUUAAAGAGUGCGUAACAGCUCACUGGUCAAGUGUUCUCGCGCCGAAAAUGAUCGGGGCUAAAGUCUUAUACCGAAGACGCGAAUUUAUGACCCCUUAGGGGCGUCAUGAGUGGUAGAGGAGCAUUCUCAUUGCAUUGAAGCGGAAUCGUAAGGAUCCGUGGAGCGAUGAGAAGAGAUUAUGCCGGAAUGAGUAGCGAUAAAAUAGGUGUAAAACCUAUUCGCCGUAAACCUAAGGUUUCCCGGGGAAGGUUAAUCCGCCCGGGGUUAGUCGGUCCUAAGCCGAGGCCGGAAAGGCGUAGGUGAUGGAAAGCAGGUUUAAUAUUCCUGCACCACUAAUUUUGCGUUAACAACUACAGGAUGCCGAGUAGGCUAAGUGAUCGCGCGACUGGAAGUGCGCGUCCAAACUUGUACCCACAGUCGCAAGACUGUGGCGAGGAGUGUUAGGGAGCUCGACCUUCGGGAAGAGUGAACUCGCUGAUGCCACACUUGCAAGAAAAGUCCUGAUAGUGAGUGGAAUUAGUGUCCGUACCGUAAUCGGACACACGUAGGUGGGUAGAAAAUACUAAGGCGCUCGAGGUAACUCUCGUUAAGGAACUAGGCAAAAUUGCCCCGUAACUUCGGAAGAAGGGGUGCCUGAUUAGGAUGACCGUCAAGGAAGUCCGAAAAGGUUGCAAUGAAAUGGGCCAACCGACUGUUUAACAAAAACACAGCUCUCUGCAAAGUCAAGAAGACGACGUAUAGGGAGUGACACGUGCCCGGUGCCGGAAGGUCAAGCGGAGGCGUCAGCCGUAAGGUGAAGCGCUCAAGUUAAGCCCCGGUGAACGGCGGCCGUAACUAUAACGGUCCUAAGGUAGCGAAAUUCCUUGUCGGGUAAGUUCCGACCUGCACGAAUCGUGUAACGAGUUGGCCGCUGUCUCAACGAGAAUCUCGGUGAAAUUGUAGCAGCGGUGAAGAUGCCGCGAUCCCGCAACUAGACGGAAAGACCCCGUGCACCUUUACUAUACGCUGGUAUUGGAUUUUGGUUUAGUGUGUGUAGCAUAGCCGGGAGACUGUGAAGAAGUGGCGCUAGCCAUUUCAGAGUCACAAUAUGAAAUACCGGUCUCAUGGAACUAGAAUUCUAACUCUGACCCUUGAAGCAGGGCGGAAGACACUGCCAGCCGGGUAGUUUGACUGGGGCGGUCGCCUCCCAAAUUGUAACGGAGGCGUUCAAAGGUCUGCUUAGUGUGGUCGGUAAUCACACGGUAAGCGCAAAAGCAUAGAGCAGGCUUGACUGCGAGACCUACGAGUCGAGCAGGGUGGAAACACGGAUUUAGUGAUCCGGUGGUCCAAAAUGGAAUGGCCAUCGCUCAUCGGACAAAAGGUACGCCGGGGAUAACAGGCUUAUCGGGCCCAAGAGUUCAUAUCGACGGCCCGGUUUGGCACCUCGAUGUCGGCUCAUCACAUCCUGGGGCUGGAGAAGGUCCCAAGGGUCCGGCUGUUCGCCGGUUAAAGUGGUACGUGAGCUGGGUUCAGAACGUCGUGAGACAGUUCGGUCCCUAUCUGUUGUGGGCGCAGGAAACUUGAGGAGAGCUCUCUCUAGUACGAGAGGGCCGAGAGAGACGAACCACUGGUGUACCUGCUGUUCUGCCAAGAGCAGUGCAGGGUAUCUAUGUUCGGAAUGGAUAAGCGCUGAAAGCAUCUAAGCGCCAAGCCGACUCCAAGAUAAGGUUUCCCAACCGGUUUUCGGUUUAGAAGGCUCCUUGUAGACUACAAGGUUGAUAGGCGGGGGGUGUAAGGGGAGUAAUCCUCUCAGCUGACCCGUACUAAUAAGCCGUUCGGCUUGACAUU
rnacentral:rRNA from 1 species